UGUCAAUGCACGUGUUUGUUCACAGCUCACGUGUCACGUAUUCACCGCCAUUAGCUGCGAAGCAGAACCCUAUAAAAACUUAGAAUUUUCGAAAUGAAAGUACAAUGUGAAACCCUAAUUGACUCUUCACCGAUCAAAAGGACGGGAUGCUGAGGGUAGCGUCGAAGAGACUAUUAGGUGAGUGCCUGUUCAAAUCCUGCCACAUCUCUACCCCGAGAACGUGAUUGACUACUUCAACAACCCUAAACGUAGUAUGAUCAUUUAAUAAGAAUGUUUCGACAAUGUCGGUGGACAUGCAUAUGGAGAUAUAAUGAACCUGCAGAUUCAAAUAAACGAGAGGAGUGGAUAGAUCGCAGUGACAGGCACGCAUAUUCUCAAGUUUUGUCUAUGAUACAUGUUGCUGUCUGGUCCCUUUCUUCAUAAGGAAUGCGUUUACCAAGACUUCUAUAAGACAAGAAAUUAGUCAAUGAAUGAUAAAAGUAAGAAGACAGUCGAGGAGAGGUAUUAUGUAAUCCUAAUGGUAGUAGGAGAAUAUCCUCUUCUUGGUGGAAGGCGACAUCUACGAAGUUGGAUUCAAGCCAGAGUAGUAGAUGUUUUUACUUUAUUCGUUGAUGCAGCUUCAUCAUGGAGGUAUAGAUGCUUCUAUUUCAUCCUUUGUUUAACUCAUUCUCUUUUUUUUUCAUUACAGAUACAUUGCAUUACAUUGAUACUCUGUCUUGACCAUAUUUAUAUUGUUGACUUGUUUUUAUUACCUUCUGUAAAAUUUUGUAAAGUUAACAUACAUGUAGCAUGAUGAUUGCUUCUUGAUCCUCUCUUCAUCUUUAUAAACUGUAUGAUUAAGAAUCUUAUCAUGUUUUGCUAGUAUGUUUCAAUUCAUUUAAUGUCAGUAGCUACUUCUAUUUACAAGUAGACCUUAGGACGAUGCCACAAGUGGCAGUGCAUGCAAGUCUGUACGCUUUUCAGAAAAAGGCUUGUUAGUCUGGAAGAAGAGGCUAAAAUAGACUGCUUAGCAUGUCUCUUGUGUAAAGUGGGAUCUGGAUGUUGAUUUGUUUAUUAUUACUUACAUCUAUUGAUGUUUUGGCAGGAUUGCAUUUGCGGUAUCAUGUAAAAGUUUAUGAAGUUGACAUCCUUUCUUUAUGUCAAUUCUCUAAUGUUUCUGAACACUUCCUUUUGGACUUGGCUUUUAAAAGAUCUCUUGUUGGACUUGCAAACAUAAUUCGGUUUUGGUUCUUGUUUUAGUCCACCUUAAUUAUAAUUUUUUUUAAUAUAUGAUGAUUCACUUGCAUUCUCUCUAAUUAUUGUAGACUACUGGCCUGGUUGCAGUUAAUCAACUUCUAAAGGUAUUGCAACAUUCUUAUGUUAUAUCCUAGCAGCAUGAGUUAUCUUUGUCACUUUGAUUGUGGGUUGUUAAACUCGAUGUGGUAGCCAUGGCUGUGAUUAUGGAGUAAUGGGGACAUACAUUUGUGCCCUACCUUGUUUGUGGGUUUUUAAACUUGAUUUCAUAGCCAUGCCUGUGGUUGUGGAAUAGUGGGGAUGUAUGUUCCUUUUUUCUUUAGUUGCUGCUGGGUUCUGGACUUAAUUCUUUGAAGCAUUUUGUCCCGGAUUUAAUUCUUUGAUUGUUUGGUCUCAAGAUCUUCCAGAUGAAUUUGGGAAAACAAAGACCAAAGUGUAUUAGAGAUCUGAUCAGGCGAUUUUAGUGUUUCCGUGCGACACUACUCUUUAUUAUAUGAGGGUUCUUUAUCAUGUUUCAGUAUGAUGGCUUCAGGUUCUCUGAACUUUAAGUGCCUAAGGAAGUUGAUUAUAUAUUACGCUUGACAGUAAUAUUCUAUUAGGUGGAGGGUGUUUGACAAAGAGAGUGGCCAUAUUUUUUCUUUUUUGCUUCUCAAAAUGGUGUGAUUUACAAGAAAAUCUAAAUACGGCUUUUGCACAUACAUCCCAGGGUGAUUUGUUUUCUUCCAAUUGCUCUGAUCCUAUAGCCUUUACCUAACAGCCCUGUUACUUCGUUUUUCAUGUAUUUCAGUUCAUCAACGUUUUGAGAGAAAAAUAGAUCUUUCUCAAACAAUCAAGGUUUAGCAUUUCUGAUGCUACGUCUGCUGAAAAAGCUUCUCAAGCUUGAUGAUGGUCAUUGUGCACAUGAUGAAAUUGUCAGUCUGAAAGACUACUUAUCCUGUAAUUUAAAAGAAUGGAUUACCCGGGGCCUCGGCCACCUUUUAGGCUUGGUUUCAAAUCCUGCAUAGGAAAGGAUUUGUCACUAUAGUUUGAGACUGAUAUGUUAUCUUUUGUAUGUUGAUGGAACUGGUGAAACAGAAUAAUCAUAUCUUAUUUUAGGUCCAAAUUGAGUUUCCAUCUUAAAUCAUACAGAUGUUACCAUAAUGCUAAAUGAGCCACCUCCGGUGUGAGAAACUAAGCUAGCAUGUUGGAUUGUGGCUUUCCUUUGAAGGAACGGGCAAUGGUCAAGUAUGCUUAUGGGUAAUUAUGCUGUGAGCAGAUGGUACAAUAUGUACAUUUUCACGUUUUCACCUCUUGAAGAAUAUCUACAAUUACUGUUUCCAGCUCUUAAAUGGAAAUCCUUAUUUUUCUACUUCUCUUUUCUAAAUGAAACAAUGUACAAGAACUCUAGCUUUUGAUAAUCUGUAUUUUAUUUCUGUCAGUAUAUCUCAAUUCUUCUUUGUUUUACAUGGCCCAAAAACAGUGGGUUGCUUUAUUUUCGCCAUCAAGGGAGCCCUGCUCUUGAGUCCUCUAUUUAUUUUGUCCUGGUACUUUAUUUUCUAGCUGUCUUGUUUAUAUGUUUUGCCCUUGUCUCAUCAACUUUAUAUGGUUUAACUGGUCGAUUCUGUUAUAAACUUAGUUGAUCAUCUAAUGAAGUCUUGGUGUUUGGCGUGCUUUAUUAUUUACUGACAUGUAAUGCCCUAUACUCAAGUUAUAACUGUUUUAUCCUGCGACUUUUGUUUAAGAAUGCUAUUUUCGGGGUUUGAGCCAUCAACUUAGAAAGGAUAUUUUUUUGAAAAUGAAUUUUUGAUGGUCAAUUUAAGUAUGUUGAUAUUUAAGAUCCUUCUAUGCUUCUAUUGUGGGAUCUGUAAUCGAUGGAUAUCAGUCAAUAAGCGAUAGAAGUAAGAAGACAGUCAAGGAAAAGUAUUAGGUAAUUCAAAUGGUAAUAGGAGAAUAUCCUCUUCUUGGUGGGAGGCUACAUUUGUGAAAUUUGAUUCAAUCAAGAUUACUAGAUGCUUAUACUUUAUUCUUUGGUGCAGCUGCAUAAUGGAGGUAUAGGUGCUUUAUUUCAUCUUUUGUUUAACUCAUUCUCUUAUUUCAUUACAGAUAGAUCGUAUUAGCUUGAUGUACUAUGUCUUGACCAUAUUUAUGUUGUCGACUUGUUUUAUUACCUUCUGCUUACUUCUGUGUGGAUAGGAAUUGAUUCAUGGUUAGCUUUCUGUUUUUCCAGCAUGGCAAUUUUAUAAACAAUAUAUCAUCUACGGCAUGCCCUUUAUUACCCGCUGCUGACUCCAGAAGCCCGCGUAUUAACCGCCAUUAUGGCCAGACCCUUAUGAUCUGAUCAAAAGGGACAUGAUUCUGAGGGUAGCGUCGAAGAUACUGUCAAGCCAGGUGUCACGAGGGCUUGUUCAGAUCCUACCCCUUCUAUUCUAGAGGAACGUGAUCGACUAUUUCGGUAACCCUAAGAAACUAGUAUCCUUUUACGAUCUAGCGGUGCCAGUGCACUUGCAUGUGUCAGUGCGCUUGCAUGUGGACAUCUAUUGACGCUGCAGAUUUAGAUAGAAGACUGCGGGUAGUAGAUGCGCGCUUUGGGACCUGCGAUUGCCUCUUCGUUUUGUGGUUUGCUUAAGAGAAAAGAUUAGGGUUUUCAUUGUGCAUUUUAAACUAAAUAAUGUAGUUGAAAGCUUUAAUUUGCUUUUGUCCAUUCUCAUAGUUCUCAAUUGUGUGAUCUUUUAGGGAAUGUUAAUUGUUUCAGCUGGUGAAUGGUAGAAACUGAAAAUAACACGUUAUUCCAUUACUUA